rnacentral:rRNA from 1 species
GUGGGGAAUCUUGCGCAAUGGGCGAAAGCCUGACGCAGCCAUGCCGCGUGAAUGAUGAAGGUCUUAGGAUUGUAAAAUUCUUUCACCGGGGACGAUAAUGACGGUACCCGGAGAAGAAGCCCCGGCUAACUUCGUGCCAGCAGCCGCGGUAAUACGAAGGGGGCUAGCGUUGCUCGGAAUUACUGGGCGUAAAGGGCGCGUAGGCGGACAGUUUAGUCAGAGGUGAAAGCCCAGGGCUCAACCUUGGAAUUGCCUUUGAUACUGGCUGUCUUGAGUACGAGAGAGGUGAGUGGAACUCCGAGUGUAGAGGUAAAAUUCGUAGAUAUUCGGAAGAACACCAGUGGCGAAGGCGACUCACUGGCCCGUUACUGACGCUGAGGCGCGAAAGCGUGGGGAGCAAACAGGAUUAGAUACCCUUGUAGUCC